rnacentral:lncRNA from 1 species
GUAAAUUGUUUAUAUGAUACAUGUAUGUAUUACUGUAAAGAUUUUUGUCUUCAACUUAUUAUUGUAGAUUGUAUUUAUAUGUGAUGGCAGCGGUCGAUGACAGCAAAUUGGACAUUUGUGUUAUAAUUUGUAAUAAAAUAAGUUUUCUGUGCUGUCGGGGCGAGCUGAUAACCAAAUAGCGGUGUUGAGUUUUUACUUUAUAAAUGCUUUAUGUUCGUUUGAAGUAUUUAAUAAGAACAUAAUGCUAUAGGGUAACAGUAUGAAUAAUGGUGAAUAUUAUUCAAAGUAAUUUUUUUUAUUUUGUAUGAGCUAUACUGAUGUCAAUGUAAUAUUGUAUUCA